AUGGGAGCACCUAUGCUCCCGUAUCACAGGAUACUCUCCCCCCCUCCCCACUGCCGCACCAACACGCCAGUCUCGGCGACGCCAAACCCUCGCCCGCUCUCCAGAAACCCCCCUAUGGCCGCCACCGGCGCUGCCGCGCCCGCGCCCGCGGCCGUGCAGCCGCCGCGGCAGUUCAAGCUCGACCCGCAGAGCGAGCUCCGCGUGGAGGUGCUCCCGGACGCGACCCUCCGCGUGCGCCUCGUCUCCGGCACGGCGGAGAUCUUCGGCACCGAGCUCCCGCCCGAGGGCUGGCUCACCAUCCCGCCCCGCUCCAAGAUCGCCAUUUUCACGUGGCACGGCGCGACGGUGGAGCUGGACGGGGUCAGCGAGAGCGAGUACACGUCCGACGAGACGCCGAUGGUGAUUUAUGUCAACACGCAUGCGAUUCUCGAUGCACGGAGGGCGAGGGCGAGGGCAGCGCAGGGAGGCGACUUGGAGGCCUCACAGGGACCUAGAGUGAUUGUUGUGGGGCCAACUGAUUCUGGAAAAAGCACUCUGUGCAAAAUGCUCCUUAGCUGGGCUGCCAAACUGGGAUGGAAGCCUACAUAUGUGGAUUUAGAUAUUGGCCAGGGUUCCAUAACCAUACCUGGAUGUAUUUCUGCUACACCAAUAGAGAAACCCAUAGAUAUAGUUGAUGGGAUUCCUUUGGAGAUGCCGCUUGCAUACUUUUAUGGCCAUCCAAAUCCAAGUAUUAAUCCAGAUGUUUACAAAGCGCUCAUGAGAGAGCUAGCUCAAACAUUAGAGACACAGUUCUCUGGGAAUGCUGAAUCUAGGGCGGCCGGUAUGGUUAUUAACACAAUGGGGUGGGUUGAAGGCCUUGGCUAUGAGUUACUUCUUAAUGCAAUUGACAUCUUCAAGGCUAAUGUAGUGCUGGUAUUGGGACAGGAGAAGCUCUGGAAGAUGUUAAAAGAUGCAGUACAAAGUAAGCCCAAUAUCGAUGUCGUAAAACUUCAUAAAUCUGAGGGUGUUGUCCUAAGGAAUUCAAAAUAUCGUCAAAAGACUAGGAGCUUUCGUAUCAAGGAGUACUUUUAUGGGAUUGCAAACGAUCUGGCACCACAUUCAAAUGUAGUCAACUUUAGUGAUGUUUCUGUUUUCAGAAUUGGUAGUGGACAUCAAGCUCCACGGUCAGCUUUACCAAUUGGUGCAGAGCCUGUGGCAGAUCCCACUCGGCUUGUUGCUGUCAACAUCAGCACUGAUAUGGUCCACACAGUGCUUGCUGUUUCUUAUGCGAAGGAACCUGAUGAAAUAAUUUCGAGCAACGUUGCCGGAUUCAUCCAUGUCACAGAUGUUGACAUCCAAAGGAAGAAGCUGACGUACAUCGCGCCUUGCCCAGGAGACCUGCCAAGCAGGCUGUUAAUCGCGAGCUCCCUGACAUGGUACGAGCAGGCUUGA
rnacentral:rRNA from 1 species